CAAUAGCGUAUAUUAAAGUUGUUGCGGUUAAAAAGCUCGUAGUUGGAUUUCUGUUGAGAACAGCCGGUCCACCUCUUGGGUGAGUAUCUGGAUUGGUCUCGGCAUCCUCUCGAAACUCGUUGCUGCGCUUGAUUGCGUGGUGCGGUGUUCGGGACUUUUACUUUGAGGAAAUUAGAGUGUUCACGGCAGGCAUUCGCCUUGAAUAUAUUAGCAUGGAAUAAUACUAUAGGAUCUUGGUUCUAUUUUGUUGGUUUCUAGGGCUAAGAUAAUAAUCAAUAGGGACGAAUUGGGGGCGAUUCGUAUUACGGCGUCAGAGGUGAAAUUACUUGGUAUUGCCGUACGACGAACUACUGCGAAAGCAUUUGCCAAGGAUGUUUUCUAUUGAUCAAGAACGAAAGUUAGGGGAGUCG
rnacentral:rRNA from 1 species